ACUUAGUUGCUUAUAAAGGUCAUUCCAUUUCUUCAGAUGAUUCUCUGUUACCUCCUUUUGUGAAUAUUGAUCCUGAUUCUUUGGCCACUUCUAACCAACUACCAGCUCUCAUAGCACACAAAGAUAAAAUUGAUGCUAUUUUAGAUGAAGAAACUGUGUUAACUAUUGAUGGAGAGGUUCAGCGCUUCCUUGUUCGUUGGGUUGAUCGACUAGAUUUUGACUGUACAUGGAUCUCCAGAGAGACGCUACAGCAAUUGGAUCUAGAUUUAUUGGAGUCAGCAGGAUCUUCCUUGACCCAAAUUGCCUCCUGUCUACUCAGGGGUAGUUGGUGAGGACACCAGAUUUAGUCUUCCACUGACAUAUUUCUACAGAUGUCGGAAGAAGCUUGCCCAAUCACUCAGCUUAUGGUUGAGAGAUUGACUGUAGCCUAGUGAUCUAUCAACUCGACGGGGUCGAGUUUUCUCCCACCCUGGGAGAGUUGAUGAGGAUAUCCGGUCUCUUUUUAUUUAUUCCUAGUUGAACCUUAUUUCAUUUUGUGGACUUUAUUUUGUUUUGGAUUCUUAUUGGGCUCAUGUCGGUCCAAGCCCAGUCUAGUUAGGAUUUUGGUUUUUAUAUUUAAACUUACUUUGCUAUGUAAUUUCAUUAGUUGAUGAUUGAAUAAAAUUAUUGGUGGCUUAUGACGAAAGCUUUCUCUCUUCCCCAUUAUUAUUCUCCUUUUUCUAUUGAUUCUUCUUCUUGGUCUUCUCAUUCAGCAUAUAAUACUUCUAUUGGUGCUGCAUCACUUCGGAUGAAUAAAUCAAAUCUCACAGUACUGGCCAUAAGAAAAAAAAUUUAAUUCGACAAUCUCUUAUAAAAUGCAUACAAUGGCCUUCUGUAGGAGCUUAAUCAUUCUUUCACAUGUUGCCUAGUACAUAAAAUGUUUUGUAUAUUGUAUUAAAUGUUUCUGCAGAAUUAGGUCAAGAAUCUAAAGGUUUCCUCAUAGAUGUUUCAAUACACGUGUCUAGCUACAGUGGCUCAAUUUCUGAAUUACUUUCAAAACUGUUUAAAAAGACAUUUUCAUUGUAUGUUGAGUGUUAUCUUCUUUCCGCGUCAAAUUAUAUCUAGACAUCCAUACAUGCCAAGUCUGUACAAAAACGAAAAUUCUAGUUUAGGUGCAAAUCAAGUUUAGAUCGUGAUCAAAAUUUUCCUUUUGCAUUGUCAAAAGAGAAAGAAGAAGCACUUUGACUAUUAAGCUAUUCACUCACUUUAUGAUAUCUAUCUAGUUUAAGGAGGACUGCAAUACUGAAAAGAAAAUAGCAUCCAAGCUGGAGGCAUGCAUAGAAAUAUCCAUGUUAGAGAGUGAAGCAAAGCUUUGGAGCAACCUCUUUGAUCUUGUGAAGGCAAGUAUAAAACUAGGAAGAUUCUUUCAGUUAUGUUAUUUGUGUUUGCUUUCACCAUCUUCAUCUUGGCCGACAUGAUUAUAUGUAAUGGGGUUUUUUUACCUACAUAAAAUUAAUACAAAAAAUUAUGGAAUCUCCAUUAGUCUAUACCCAUGGCAUCGACAGUUUUUUUUUUCUCUGUCGUUUUUUUUUAUAAAUAUAUGAGUACCCUCUUGUCAUUAUGCUUCAGCUGUUUUUUCCUGUGGCAGAAUAUAGUCCUCAUCAGAGAUCCAGAAGAUUCAAAAAGUUUUUACCCUCGUUUAUCUUGAGGACACCUCAAGCUUCAGUGAUUUAUAUGAGCACAGGUACCUUAAGAUAUUCAUUUUUUUUUUCGAUAUCAAAAUUGGUCCAUUUUGUUAGAGAUAAAUUGUGGCGACAUGCAUUAUGUCUAUUAUGGUGAAGAUUAUUAUUUUUUCUUUUCUUCCCAUCUUAUCUCUUCUUCUCUAUGGAAAAGAUCAGCUUUGGCCAUCCAAUCUCUGCAGAAUGUGCCAUUUAUCAUUGCUGUCCAAUGAUGCAGCAAAAAUGUUCUGAAGAGACUAUGUUAAGAUUACUACUUCCAUCAGCAAGAGACUCUGUGGCGUCAAAAUGCUUUAAAGACAUUACCUGUUCUCUUGAACUCCUCAAAUAUGUUGGCUCAUGGAGAAGAUCUCGGGGUGAUUCCUUCAUGUGUUCAUCUCGUAUGACUUACUACUGUUUUCCAUUACAUUCAUGCUAGUGAUAAUUUCAAGUAGGUUUAUAAGGUUGUUUAAUUAUGGGGUGACAUAGGUCAUGCAAGAGCUUGGUUUAAUUGGAUUAAGCAUUCAACGUAUGCCAAAUGAACCUGAUUUGGAAUUUGAUAUUCCUUCUCAGUAUAGUUAUAUGACGGUAGGAGGUUUAUUCUAAUUUGUUUCGGUUUAUGUCAUCUUUGGGUUUUUAUACCUUAUUUAAUGAAGUACCUUCCACUAAAAAAUCUUGGAAAUUAAAUGACGAGGACCAUAGUCGUAAAAGCAAAAGGCCCAUAAUCAAAUUAUCAUCCUUAAUCUGUUUUGGGUAUGUGCUCUAUCAUGUCACGACUGUUCUACCCUGUGUGCUUGGUGGGAAGAAGAUGAAGAGAGAACACGUAGAUAUUUCAAAAACAUGGUGGGAAGUGAUUUAUUGCCACAUGAUCAAUGCGUUCUCGAGAUUGUGUACUUCAUUUUGCAGCAGCACUUUGAAUCUCCAUCAAUGUGGGCAAUUUUUCCACUUCAGGAACUUGAAUACAUGAAGAG
rnacentral:lncRNA from 1 species